rnacentral:rRNA from 1 species
AUAGCUCACUGGUCAAGCGAACCUGCGCCGAAAAUACAACGGGGCUAAGCUCGGUACCGAAGCUUCGAACUCUGGCAACAGAGUGGUAGGGGAGUAUUGUCAGGCAGACACACGGUGGACGGUGACGACCACUAUCGGGCCUGACAAGAGCUUAUGCAGGCAUGAGUAGCGAUAAACCGAGUGAGAAACUCGGUCGCCGUAAGCCCAAGGUUUCCUGGGGAAGGAUAAUCCUCCCAUGGGUUAGUCGGAUCCUAAGCCGAGGCCGAGAGGCGUAGGUGAUGGGAAGCAGGUUAAUAUUCCUGCACCACCAACGGUGGCGUUGAAGUAAGCGGGGACGGAGUAGGGUAGGCCGAGCACGGUGCAUGGAUCCGUGUUCAAGCCAGUAGGGAGACUUCUGAGGACCCGUUAGGGACAAACCAGGAGUCAAUUCCGAGAGGUGAUGAGGUGAGCUCUUCGGAGCUUGCAACUCGGUGAUCCCAGACUUCCAAGAAAAGCCGCGUACAGAGCUUCGUUGGUGUCCGUACCGCAAACCGACUCAGGUGGGCGGGGUGAGAAUCCCAAGGCGCGUGAGAGAACCCAGGCUAAGGAACUCGGCAAAAUGACUCUGUAACUUCGGAAGAAAGAGUGCCAUGUAAUCAUGGUUGCAAUAUCAAGUUCCAAGCAACUGUUUAUCAAAAACACAGGUCCCCGCUAAGUUGUAAAACGAUGUAUGGAGGCUGACACCUGCCCAGUGCCGGAAGGUUAAAGAAGUCGGUGUAACAGCUGAUAACUGAAGCCCCGGUGAACGGCGGCCAUAACUAUAAUGGUC